UACGUAGGGUGCAAGCGUUGUCCGGAAUUAUUGGGCGUAAAGAGCUCGUAGGCGGUUUGUUGCGUCGGCUGUGAAAUCCCGAGGCUCAACCUCGGGUCUGCAGUCGAUACGAGCAAACUAGAGUGUUGCAGGGGAGACUGGAAUUCCUGGUGUAGCGGUGAAAUGCGCAGAUAUCAGGAGGAACACCGGUGGCGAAGGCGGGUCUCUGGGCAACAACUGACGCUGAGGAGCGAAAGCGUGGGGGGCGAUCCGG
rnacentral:rRNA from 1 species